UGAGGUUAUUUAAAAAGAUAUGAAAAGUUUAUCACCAUAUCACCAGUGUACCAUUCCCACUGAACAAUAGGUUUAAGAAAAAGAAAACAACAACAUUCACUGGUGGAAUAUUCCAUUCACCAUAAGGUGGUAGCUUGCGACUGGUGUAACACCAUAUCUGGACCGCCCUACUGGGGGCAUACCACUAGAAACGAUUCUGUGUUCAUGGACUUUUAUUCUCUGAUGAAGGCGUGUGUACUGAAACAGCUUUGUGUAUUUACAUACAAAUAAAGGCUGGAAUUUGUUUGGGGUUUUUUUUAGAAAGGGAGUGAUUUAUUUUUAAUUAUUUUUUUAGUUGGGGGAGUUUCACUGAGAUAUAGUUCAAAAUGUACUUGGGGAAAAAGUGUCCAUGUGGAUGUAGGCACGCAAGCUUAAUUCAUGUCAUUAGUAACAUCUGUGUUCACCCUGCUCAUAUCAAAACAGCUGCUCUCAAAUAUGUCCAUUACAAACAAAAAGAAUAAGCUUAAGAGACAACUGGUUCAACAACAAUGCUUCUGUACAUGUACAGGGUCAGCAAGGGGACAAUGACUCAUGCUUUUGUUUUCUUUAAGCUACAGGGAAAAAAAGUACCUGACAUUUAAUUUAUCAUGCCAAGAACAUGGGAGGAGAUUUUAUUUUGUGGGUUUCAACUAUUACACUGUCCUAUACGCCACAGUGAGAUGUCAUUCAAGUAAAACCUAGUAGAGGUCUAAUCAACUAAAUUAAGCCAAACAUCUGUUUGAGUAUAAAAUGAGUUUAUAUCAACUAAUUUCCAACUUCAUUAAAGGAAAGGAGAAAAAAAUGACAACUUGACUAUUUCAAAAAUAAGUAACAAUUGAUUGAUUAUAAUGCCGGCAAUUCACACAUCUUUAGGAAAGAGCUCAUUUCUGACACUUUUUCACAUAAUCAUUCUUUGGUUUACAACCCAGGACUUGUGACCUUAGCUGAGGACAGGAAUGGAGAUCAACUGAUGAUACUGAUCCAUCUGCCAGUUUCCCAUUCCACUCCAUCUUCACUC
ensembl:lncRNA